UGGGGAAUAUUGGACAAUGGGGGGAACCCUGAUCCAGCCAUGCCGCGUGUGUGAAGAAGGCCUUAUGGUUGUAAAGCACUUUAAGCGAGGAGGAGGGUACUGGUAUUAAUACUACCAGGUACUGGACGUUACUCGCAGAAUAAGCACCGGCUAACUCUGUGCCAGCAGCCGCGGUAAUACAGAGGGUGCGAGCGUUAAUCGGAUUUACUGGGCGUAAAGCGUGCGUAGGCGGCUAAUUGAGUCGGAUGUGAAAUCCCCGAGCUUAACUUGGGAAUUGCAUUCGAUACUGGUUAGCUAGAGUGUGGGAGAGGAUGGUAGAAUUCCAGGUGUAGCGGUGAAAUGCGUAGAGAUCUGGAGGAAUACCGAUGGCGAAGGCAGCCAUCUGGCCUAACACUGACGCUGAGGUACGAAAGCAUGGGGAGUAAACAGG
rnacentral:rRNA from 1 species